rnacentral:lncRNA from 1 species
CCAGGGUGGAGUGCAGUAGUGUAAUCAUAGCUCACUACAGCCUCGCUAACUCCUGGGCUCAAGCGAUCCUCCCACCUAAAGUUCCCGAGUAGCUGGGACUACAGGUGUGAGCCACCACGCCCAGACAAUAAGAACUUUUUGAAGAGUCCAAACUUUAGGGUCCCCACCUUGUUACUUGCAAUGAAACGGACACAGUGGAAGACAGCUUGGAGUAGGAAAAGGACUGAAGACUGCAGCAGCCAGGUGAACUUCUAUUCGUCCAUCAAGACCCAACCCAAAGAAACCCACUUGAAGCCAGGCGGGAGGGCUCACGCCUGUAAUCCCAGCACUUUGGGAGGCCGAGGCUGGCGGAUCACCUGAGGUCGGGAGUUCAAGACCAGCCUGGCCACUAUGGUGAAACUCCGUUUCUACUAAAAAUAAAAAAAAUAGCCGGGCAUCAUGGUGGGUGCCUGUAGUCCCAGCUACUCGAGAGGCUGAGGCAGGAUAAUCGUUUGAACCCGGGAGGCGGAAGUUGCAGUGAGCUGAGAUUGCACCAUUGCACUCCAGCCUGGGCGACAAAGCGAGACUCCGUCUCAAACAACAACAACAACAAACUACACUCUAGUCUGGGCGACAGAGCAAGACCCUGUCUUAAAAACAAACAAACAAACAAGGAAACCCCAUUUGUAACUGCCACUAAUUGGACUAUACUUCUGGUGGGCCAUCUUCAAGCUUCGGGCUUGAAUAAACCCUAU